GGCGAGGGGAGUGAAAAAGAACCUGAAACCGUGUACGUACAAGCAGUGGGAGCGCAGGUUUACCUGUGUGACUGCGUACCUUUUGUAUAAUGGGUCAGCGACUUAUAUUCUGUAGCAAGGUUAACCGUAUAGGGGAGCCGUAGGGAAACCGAGUCUUAACCGGGCGUUAAGUUGCAGGGUAUAGACCCGAAACCCGGUGAUCUAGCCAUGGGCAGGUUGAAGGUUGGGUAACACUAACUGGAGGACCGAACCGACUAAUGUUGAAAAAUUAGCGGAUGACCUGUGGCU
rnacentral:rRNA from 1 species